AUAUUGCACAAUGGGGGAAACCCUGAUGCAGCGACGCCGCGUGAAGGAAGAAGUAUCUCGGUAUGUAAACUUCUAUCAGCAGGGAAGAAAAUGACGGUACCUGACUAAGAAGCCCCGGCUAACUACGUGCGAGCAGCCGCGGUAAUACGUAGGGGGCAAGCGUUAUCCGGAUGUGCUGGGUGUAAAGGGAGCGUAGACGGAAGAGCAAGUCUGAUGUGAAAGGCUGGGGCUUAACCCCAGGACUGCAUUGGAAACUGUUGUUCUAGAGUGCCGGAGAGGUAUGCGGAAUUCCUAGUGUAGCGGUGAAAUGCGUAGAUAUUAGGAGGAACACCAGUGUCGAAGGCGGCUUACUGGACGGUAACUGACCUUGAGGCUCGAAAGCGUGGGGAGCAAACA
rnacentral:rRNA from 1 species